rnacentral:rRNA from 1 species
UACGAAGGGGGCUAGCGUUGCUCGGAAUGACUGGGCGUAAAGGGCGCGUAGGCGGUUCGUACAGUCAGACGUGAAAUUCCCGGGCUCAACCUGGGGGCUGCGUUUGAUACGUGCAGACUUGAGUUCGGAAGAGGGUCGUGGAAUUCCCAGUGUAGAGGUGAAAUUCGUAGAUAUUGGGAAGAACACCGGUGGCGAAGGCGGCGACCUGGUCCGAUACUGACGCUGAGGCGCGAAAGCGUGGGGAGCAAACAGG